rnacentral:rRNA from 1 species
CAAACAAUUUUCGGAAACGAAUUUUUCGGUUCUCGCUUCAUUAAAAAACUUACCGAAUGGCAUUAUUGGGGGGGAUUUGCGAAUUCCCGGGAACCUUGGGGCCUUUAAACCAAAUUGGCCCCCAAGGCCUUUGGGCGAAGGGACCUUUGGCUGGGCGUUCAGC